GAUGCUUGCUUCGGUAGUACAUCAUAUACUAAAAUUGGAACAAUACAGAAGAUUAGCAUGGUUCCUGUGCAAGGAUGACAUGCAAAUUUGUGAAGUGUUCCGUAUUUUU